GAUGAAGAACGUAGCGAACUGCGAUAAGUAAUGUGAAUUGCAGAAUUCAGUGAAUCAUCGAGUCUUUGAACGCACAUUGCGCCCUCUGGCAUUCCGGGGGGCAUGCCUGUCCGAGCGUCAUUGCUGCCCUUCAAGCCCGGCUUGUGUGUUGGGUCGUCGUCCCCCCCGGGGGACGGGCCCGAAAGGCAGCGGCGGCACCGCGUCCGGUCCUCGAGCGUAUGGGGCUUUGUCACCCGCUCGAUUAGGGCCGGCCGGGCGCCAGCCGGCGUCUCCAACCUUCUAUUUUACCAGGUUGACCUCGGAUCAGGUAGGGAUACCCGCUGAACUUAAGCAUAUCAAUAAGCGGAGGA
rnacentral:misc_RNA from 1 species